GGCGAACGCUGGCGGCGUGCUUAACACAUGCAAGUCGAACGGAAAGGCCCUGCUUUUGUGGGGUGCUCGAGUGGCGAACGGGUGAGUAACACGUGAGUAACCUGCCCUUGACUUUGGGAUAACUUCAGGAAACUGGGGCUAAUACCGGAUAGGAGCUCCUGCUGCAUGGUGGGGGUUGGAAAGUUUCGGCGGUUUGGGAUGGACUCGCGGCUUAUCAGCUUGUUGGUGGGGUAGUGGCUUACCAAGGCUUUGACGGGUAGCCGGCCUGAGAGGGUGACCGGCCACAUUGGGACUGAGAUACGGGCCAGACUCCUACGGGAGGCAGCAGCGGGGAAUAUUGCACAAUGGGCGGAAGCCGUAUGCAGCAACGCCGCGUGCGGGAUGACGGUCUUCGGGUUGGAAACCGCUUUCGCCUGUGACGAAGCGUGAGUGACGGUAAUGGGUAAAGAAGCACCGGCUAACUACGUG
rnacentral:rRNA from 1 species